GACGAACGCUGGCGGCGUGCCUAAUACAUGCGAGUCGAGCGGACCGAACAGGAGCUUGCUCUUGUUCGGUUAGCGGCGGACGGGUGAGUAACACGUGGGUAACCUGCCCGUAAGACCGGGAUAACUCCGGGAAACCGGAGCUAAUACCGGAUAACACCGAAGACCGCAUGGUCUUUGGUUGAAAGGCGGCUUCGGCUGCCACUUACGGAUGGGCCCGCGGCGCAUUAGCUAGUUGGUGAGGUAACGGCUCACCAAGGCGACGAUGCGUAGCCGGCCUGAGAGGGUGACCGGCCACACUGGGACUGAGACACGGCCCAGACUCCUACGGGAGGCAGCAGUAGGGAAUCUUCCGCAAUGGACGAAAGUCUGACGGAGCGACGCCGCGUGAGCGAAGAAGGGCUUCGGAUCGUAAAGCUCUGUUGUUAGGGAAGAAGAAGCGUCGUUCGAACAGGGCGGCGCGGUGACGGUACCUAACGAGAAAGCCCCGGCUAACUACGUG
rnacentral:rRNA from 1 species